UGGCAAGAUGUUGGCAUAGCUGUUUGGAGUUCUGGGUCGGCUGUGCUGACAAACUGCCAUU
rnacentral:pre_miRNA from 1 species